GGAAAACUUACCAGGUCCAGACAUAGUGAGGAUUGACAGAUUGAGAGCUCUUUCUUGAUUCUAUGGGAGGUGGUGCAUGGCCGUUCUUAGUUGGUGGAGUGAUUUGUCUGGUUAAUUCCGUUAACGAACGAGACCCCCGCCUGCUAAAUAGGUCCGUGAAUGAAUUUCAUUGACGAGAUCUUCUUAGAGGGACUUUUGGUGACUAACCAAAGGAAGUUGGGGCAAUAA
rnacentral:rRNA from 1 species